rnacentral:rRNA from 1 species
GAUGAACGCUGGCGGCGUGCCUAAUACAUGCGAGUCGAGCGAACAGACGAGGAGCUUGCUCCUCUGACGUUAGCGGCGGACGGGUGAGUAACACGUGGAUAACCUACCUAUAAGACUGGGAUAACUUCGGGAAACCGGAGCUAAUACCGGAUAAUAUAUUGAACCGCAUGGUUCAAUAGUGAAAGACGGUUUUGCUGUCACUUAUAGAUGGAUCCGCGCCGCAUUAGCUAGUUGGUAAGGUAACGGCUUACCAAGGCAACGAUGCGUAGCCGACCUGAGAGGGUGAUCGGCCACACUGGAACUGAGACACGGUCCAGACUCCUACGGGAGGCAGCAGUAGGGAAUCUGCCGCAAUGGGCGAAAGCUUGACGGAGCAACGCCGCGUGAGUGAUGAAGGUCUUCGGAUCGUAAAACUCUGUUAUUAGGGAAGAACAAAUGUGUAAGUAACUAUGCACGUCUUGACGGUACCUAAUCAGAAAGCCACGGCUAACUACGUG